ACUACUACUACAUGGAGGCCGCCGAAGACCAGGAGUAGUUAGGAGGUCCCAGGCAGGAGGCCUUGCCUCUUUGAUCGUGUUGCUUUUGUGCUAGCCUUUUUAAGGCAUCCUUGUUUAACUUAUGUCUGUAGUCAGAUAUUGUUGCUUCCGCUGACUCUUGUGUAUCGAGCUUUUGUAUUCGAGCCCUCUGGCUUGUAAUAUAAAGCUUGUAUCCCUUUUAUUUGUGUUUAGAGUUGUGUUGUGAUAUCUUCCCGUGAGUCCUUGAUCUUGAUCGUACACAUUUGCGUGUAUGAUUAGUGUACGAUUGAAUCAGGGGCGUCACAAGUUGGUAUCAGAGCUGACUGCUUGUAGGAUCCCCCUUUCCAACUCCUUUGCCGAAGUUGAGUCUAGUCUUCAAAAACUGUUUUACUAACAUGGUUGUGUGGCUUACGGGCCCACGUUGCCAAUUGGGUGGUAUUAGGAUCUUUUAUUCCUUGUCUAUACUCUAGGAAUCUGAUCUCUCUUCUAUUCGGGUUAAAUGGUUUUGCAAACUAUAACUCUAGGUUCUCGUAAAUACUUCUCCCGGAGAGCCCCUUCAUUUCAGAUGAUGGCCCGCUUCACCAGAAGAUUCUGAAGAUACUCUCCGAUGUUUUCCUCGAGACCCUUGUACCCUUAGCCGUUGCGAUCCCUACCACCGAUAAAUCCUUAUGAGUAACUACCUACAUUGUCGUUCAUACCUUCAUCCCCAGUUGCUCUUGUUAUUACAAGAUGCCCUGAAAAACUAUUUGAUCUUCCGAAAAUGCUCAAUAGGCUAUUACUCUUGUUCCUCCUUAUCUGCUUGCAUUAUGGUUACUUCCAUAUGUCUAACAAUACUCAUUAGCAUCCUUUGUCAUCGUAAUUUCGAGCAUUUUAUUCGAUAAGUUUGUGAAUGCUCGCGAUCAUCAGUUCUAGUUAGAAUUCUUCCCUUGGCUCAGACGUCACUCUGAACAUGAGCUGGUGUUCGACAAAUCAAACCUUGUUUGAUUGUCGAUCUAUGUCUAUCGAACUUACUUGUCUUUGAUCAUAGCUUAUACUUCUGAUUCCCUAAUUUGGAAACCAUAAUUCCUUUGCAUUUGAGCUAUGAAUUUGUCAGUUGUUUCUAUAACCUGACCUCCUUGCAUUCUUUCUUCUUCUGGUUGAGUACCGAUACUCACAUUAGAUCCAUUGUGGACCUCCAGGUCCUUUUUUGGGUUAUAUUCGAUAGCGUCCUUCUUUUUCAGUAACUUUGUGAGCUGUUCCUUGGAUACAUAAUGCCUUUGGUAAAUUGUAUCCCCUGCUUUUGUCAACCAUGCUCUGCUUUUGAGCUUGAGUUACUUAUUCCUAAAGUUGUGGUAUAUGUUCCUAAGAUGUCCCUAUGGGUUGAACCUACGCCUUCCCUAAUUUGUGUGAACCCGAAGAUUAUGCGAGGUAUAUCUACUGGCAUUUCUUCGGAUAAAUUUUCAAUUCUACAACUUCGUCGAAAACGAGAAGUAAUUGGAAAGUUGUACAUUAGAGAAGUGGGAGUCGACCUUGAACCUUUGAGUACAUGCCCAUGGACCCGAUGUGGAACUUAUCAUGAAAGCUUCUUGUUAUAAUGAUAAUCCCCUUGUGAUAAGUUCAUCUUGUAUCUUUAUUUGGUCCUUUGCAACCGUGGUUUCGACCAUAUUGUUCUUAUUUGAUCCCAUUUCUCAAACAAGUUAAAGUACUUGUCUUCUUCAGAUCAUUUCACUUGUCCAACCUCUACUUUGAUCUACCACCGAGUAUUACCCUAUGGUAUCUCGAGAAUAUCACAGAACUACAUAACUUGUUAUGAUUUCUUCAUCAACUAUUAUUUCUCGCCGAUUCCAAUUUUUCCACGGGAUCUGGGUUGUUAGACACUCGAGAAUACCGAUAACUGAUUCGAGUCUACGCUUUCCUUUCCAUUGUUUUGGUUUAAUCUUUCUUGUAACCUAACAUAUCCGAGCAGUGAUAAUUCCCUGCUUAUGUAAACACCUCGGUGUACAUUCUGUGUCAGUAAGACCUUGUUACUAUCAUUGAUGACAUCUGGUAGCCGCCGAUGGACGAGAACUUUGCCUAUUGGUCCGCCUCGUCUUAACGAGCAGGAAAAUGGUUCUCUUCGUCCCUCGCCCUUGGUACCAAUGUGUUGCCAACAUAACUGACAGGCUAUCCUCUGACCUACCUUGCUAUCAUGACCGUGCAUACGUUAGCGCCCUUCCUACCUUUAACCCACAUGGUGGGCCCAUAACCCACAGUUCCACAAGAUCGAAACCUGACUCUCCUGUAAAUCUCUGUCUUCCAAAAUUGUUCCUCACACUUGGCCUUGUAUGUAAUUCAUGAGCCACCUUCUUGUGAUCUGUUCUGCUAUCAGAUGCAAUACUUAUUUUCGAUGCACUGAACCCCUUUCACACUCUGUUUCAGACAUCGAACGAUUGUCCAUUCGCUUGAAGCUUCUUAUUGCUCCUCCUUACCUUGCUCUCGAUGACUUUCUUGAAAUUCAACUCGAGAGAUGCCUCUAUGCCACGUCGCGAGAUAUCCCCCAGGUACCUAUCUUGUGUUGAGCCCCAUCCUUUUCGAGUCUUCCCCCCUACUACACCCCUUAAAUCUUGGGACGAGAUUUCUUGUAGUGGAGGAGAAUUGUAACGCCCGGAAAAUUAUGCUACAGUAAACCCCUGUUAAUGGUGCCAUGUCAUCAUGUUACUGUUACUAAUCUUCGCUUGAUCCAAACCACAAUUCAAAUUCAAAUUAAAGUCCAAAAAUCAAAUUUCUCAAACAUGCAAAUUAAAAUGUUCAAAGUGUGGCAAAUAUUCCAUAACCAAUUAUGGUGCUGACCCAACAUUUUUUAAAGGUAUUUAAAUGCUCUUUGGUGAAUAAAAUAGUGACUAAAACAAUUAUUAAAUGCCUUUAAAUAAUAACCAAAUAUAAAACUAUUUUAUUAUUGUGCCAAAUUAAUUAUGGCAAUAGCCUAAGUGGUAAUACUAAUUUUGGGGCUAGGUUUAUAUUUUACAAAACUAAAAAUAAAUACAUGAAAGGAAACUUAAUUGAAAAAAAGGAGAAGCCCCCCCACUGUUCCCCCUGGGCCUUGGCCCAACUGGCGAUUGGCCAGCCCACCAGUGUCGUUUCUCUCAUCUCUGUUCACGGGGGCUCGUGGCUAGCACCGAUGGCCGCCAUGGCCAUGGCAGACGCCGUGGCGCCCGUCCACCGGUGCUGCCCCCCUACUUAAGCUGGCGCCUCUCCCUCAAACCGAACCCUAACGAGCCUCUCUCCAAACUCACCCUCCCCGCGCCUCUCCUCUCCCCUCCUCAGAUCCACCGCGAUGCGCUCGCCCGAGUGGGUUCGUCGUUGUUGCCUCGCCGUGCGUGUGGCCACCGGCCAUUGUUGGUCGUUCUGUGAUGUCUAGAAGCACGCAACCUUCGUCUUCAUCUUCCUCGGCAUCGGAUAGAAUCCUAGGAGCACCGCCAACACCGUCUUCUUAUUCCCCCUUUGUCCGCUUCGACCACCGGCCCUCUUCGUCGACUCUGGCCGCCCUCUGCGCUUCUAAGCCCUCAACGGGCCUCCAUGUGCCUCCACAGUGAGCGCACCGUCCAGCCCCUCUCCCCUCUUACCUCCUCCUAAGCCGUAGCCCACCUCGCCGUCGCUGCUGGCCCUGGCCACAGUCGCCGCGGCCGCGUCCAUCGACGCGUUCGCCCACAACCCCCUGCUACACCCGGGCCGCGUCGUGGCAGCUCCAGCCGCCCGCCCGCGCCGCUGUCCCGCUGCGCCCUGGUCGACCUGCUUCUACUGCCGGCCCCUGACGCAUGCAGCUGGCGCUGGGCGUCGUCAUCGUGGACGCCCUCGACGUCGCCACCGUAGCCAUAAUCCCCGUAGCUCGCGUACGAACCCCACAGCGAACUCCUCAUGCUCCCAGGAGUCAAAUGCACGCACACACGCGCCUCCCUAAGCCCCAUGGCCACGGAUCCAUUGAUGCCCGAACACCAACGCCACCAUCGUGGAUGUCCUGCUCAACUCCGGCCGCCCCCGCUCGUUCCAGCGGGCUGCCCUGUCCCGCUCACUACUGCUGCUGCUGCCCGCCUCCGCCGGCGGCCCGCGCUGCUUCCUCCCGACUAGUUGCUGCCAUCGCUGCGUUCCAUCACAGCUAUCGCGCCACUGCUCCCCGAUGGCCGCAUGCCCUGCUCACCCCCUUGCCGCUCCUCUUGCCGAAGGCCUCACCACGCCCCUGCUUUGCCUUGCGGCAACCUGCACCCGCUGCUGUCGCCGCCUGCUGCUGCUUGCUACCACGGCUCUACGGAUGCAUCCUACUACUGGUCGCUGACGCUGAUGCUAGCUAUUGCCGCUGCUGUAGGACCUUGAGAAGAGGUGUCUAGAGGGGGGGUGAUUAGACACUAAGUACCAAAGUUGCAGUUUUUAAGUUUCUUUAAAGUUUGAGUGGAGUUUAGGCACAAGUUUAACAUUCACAACAUAUAGCAAGCAAGCAUGCAAAGAGUAUAUGAACAUCGGAAAAUAAAGCAUGCAACUUGCAAGAAUGUAAAGGGAAGGGAUUGGAGGAUUCAAACGCAAUUGGAGACACGGAUGUUUUUGGCGUGGUUCCGAUAGGUGGUGCUAUCGUACAUCCACGUUGAUGGAGACUUCAACCCACGAAGGGUAACGGUUGCGCGAGUCCACGGAGGGCUCCACCCACGAAGGGUCCACGAAGAAGCAACCUUGUCUAUCCCACCAUGGCCGUCGCCCAUGAAGGACUUGCCUCACUAGCGGUAGAUCUUCACGAAGUAGGCGAUCUCCUUGCCCUUACAAACUCCUUGGUUCAACUCCACAAUCUUGUCAGAGGCUCCCAAGUGACACCUAGCCAAUCUAGGAGACACCACUCUCCAAAAAGUAACAAAUGGUGCAUUGAUGAUGAACUCCUUGCUCUUGUGCUUCAAAUGAUAGUCUCCCCAACACUCAACUCUCUCUCAUAGGAUUUGGAUCUGGUGGAAAGAGGGUCUGAGUGGAAAGCAACUUGGGGAAGGCUAGAGAUCAAGAUUCAUAUGGUAGGAAUGGAAUAUCUUGGCCUCAACACAUGAGUAGGUAGUUCUCUCUCAGAAAUAGGAUGCUGGAAGUGUAGGUUCAGUCUGAUGGCUCUCUCCACGAAUGAAGAGGAGGUGGAGGGGUAUAUAUAGCCUCCACACAAAAUCUAACCGUUACACACAAUCUACCAAACUCGGUGGGACCGAAUCGUUAAACUCGGUCAGACCGAUUUAGCAAAUAAUGUGACCGUUAGGGUUUUCGGUGGGACUGGAAUGCAACUCGGUGGGACCGAUUCGGUUAGGGUUAGGGCAUAACGUAAUCUCGGUAAGACCGAUUACACAAACUCGGUGGGACCGAUUUUGGUAAUAAGCUUUCCAGAGAGUUGGUCAGGCAAACUCGGUUUGACCGAUUAUCAAACUCGGCGGGACCGAUUUUGAUAAUAAGUUAACCAGAUAGUUUGCAUUGUAAUCUCGGUAGUACCAAUUGCUCAAACUCGGUGAGACCGAUUUUGAUAAUGGACAUACACAGAGAGAUUACAAUCCCAUCUUGGUGAGACCGAGAUCCCUAUCGGUGAGACCGAUUUGCCUAGGGUUUGUGGUAGUGGCUAAGACAUCCAAACUCGGUGGCGCCGGAUGGAAAGAAUCAGUGGGGCCGAGUUUGACUUUAGGUUUAGGACAUAUGUGUGGAAGUGGGAAAGUAGUUGAGGGUAUUUGGAGCAUAUCACUAAGCACUUUGAAGCAAGAGGCUCAUUAAGCAACACCUCAUUCCUCCUUGAUAGUAUUGGCUUUUCCUAUAGACUCAAUGUGAUCUUGGAUCACUAAAAUGUAAAAUGAAGAGUCUUGAGCUUGAAGCUUGAGCCAAUCCUUUGUCCUUAGCAUCUUGAAGGAGUUCCCACAUCCUUUAGUCCAUGCCACUCCAUUGUUGAACUUAUCUGAAACAUACUAGAUAAAAGUGUUAGUCCAACAAGAGAUAUGUUGUCAUUAAUUACCAAAACCACCUAGGGAGCAAUUGUGCUUUCAAUCUCCCCUUUUUGGUAAUUGAUGGCAACAUACAUCAAAGCUUUAGAUAAAGAUAUAAAGAAUAGCAAGUAAAGCUUUGGAAAGACAUGUAACAAGCAUAGGCUCCCCCUACAUGUAUGCAAUCAUGUGAAUAUGAAAUAUAGAAGCAUGUGAUAGCAUAACCAUGAUAGAGCAGGCAAUGUGUUACAUGUAUCUUGGCUAUAUGCAUCAGAGCAAAAAGUAUUAAAGAGAAUACCUUCAUGCCCAUGAGUCCUUCUUGCAAACAAUAUGUACAUCAGCAAGAAUUCCUCAUACACAUGAUUGUGAUGCAUAUACUUACCUUGUGGUCUUGAGUUGGCUUAGGAUGGAAUGAACCUGUGAAAACAAGGUUAGAUAACACAGAUGCAUCUACUAGCCAAAGAAAACAGAAGAAACCACAAGAAUACCAAGACUGAGAUGACAUGUAGAGAGUGAGUACUGAGUACCACAUUGGAUUAGACAUGUCCCCAAGAGUAAAGAUAUGCAAUGAAUUUAAAUGAUCUCUUUCCCUUAGAUGUCUUGCUCCCCCUGAAUCUAACAUGGGAUACUGGGAGAAGAUAGGGAACAGAAAAUCAGAGCUGAAGGAAAACAAAGCUGAAAGAUAUGAAUGAUGAUCAGAGGUAAAGUUCAGAGCUAAUGUAUGCUAAUGCAAAAUGAGCACAACAGAUCAUAUGAACAUGUCUCUCCCCUCAAGAAGACAUGUGGACAUCUCUCCUCUUGAACACCAAGCAUCUGGGAUCCUUGAGAAAUACUUAAGUAUCCUCUCCCCCUGGAGAUCUCUCUCGUCUUUUGAGGGUCUCUCCCCUAGAAGGUCUCUCUCUCCCUUAAGAGGAAAGGUGAUAAGUUUUGAUGCUCUCUCUCUAUCUCCAAAUGAUAAGCUUUGAUGUUCUUUCUCUCUCCCCUUUGACAUCAAUUUCCAAGAAGGGUCUUCUGGAGUCUGUCGAAUGGGUUUGGUCCUUGAGACACAGAACAAAGCAAUGAUGAAAAUGUGAUGCUUGUAGAGGACAAGAUUCAUUGAGUGGAGCUGGAUCAGAAGAAACACAAAAUAUGUGGCAAAGAGUUUUUCCUGUUAUGAAAUCGGUGGCACCGAGUGGUAUGCUUCGGUCGUACCAAAAAGAUUUGGUUGGACCGAAAAUAACAAAUCGGUGUAACCGAGUUCAUCGCAGAGAAAACACUUGUCACCUCAACUCAUUAGACUAGUAAGAUCUCACAAAGAUUUGCAAGGAAUUAACUGAAAGAUAUGCAAGGAAUUAGAUGCAGAAAAUGCAGAGAAAACAGAAAGAAAUCUAGAUGAAGUUUUUUUUUGAAAGGGGAAACACAUAUGCAUGAGACAAAUGCAAAAACUCAGAAAAGAACAUAGGAGAACUUCAUCUAGAGAUGGUCGGUGACAAAGUCACCUAUGUUAGAGUAUAUUGACUUAGGAGUCAAGUGAGAUCACUUGAUCAUAGGCCAUACUCAUCGUUUAAGCUCAAAAUGGGGUUGCCAUUUUUCGUUUAAGCAUCUUGAUGUAUUCACAUCUUGUCGAGUUGCUUUAACUCAUGACUCGGAGUAAAGCUUCUCUAAUAUGGAAUAACAUACCUUGGUUGGUGGUGUUGUCCAUGUAGUUGAACUUGCGUGGGUUGCUCAAGGUUGAUGUAGCUCAUCAAGAAUUUGGAGCACCACUUGGAAUUUGAGUCCAUAUACCUACAUGGGUUAGUUCUUGCAAGGAAGAGCACUUGUAUAUCCAAAAAUGACAAUCAUGAAACUCAACAUAGAAUUUGUCAAAGGAUAUGUUUGAAUGGUUUCGUGCUUCCUUGUCUUCAACCACCUUGUGUAGAGACUUGGUGAUGUAGAGAUUGCUCAAGAUAUGAGUAGGUUUCAACCUCAUGGAAUUUGAUCCAACCAAGUACCUACAUGGGUUAGAUAACAUGCAAGAUACAAAUAUGUCCAAGACAUAAGUUUUUCAUCAUAAGAGAAAUAUCAAGGAUUAGUCAUAAGCUCAUGUCUUGCAUGUAUCCAAUGGAGUUUCUACUCCAAGUUUGAAGCAUCAAUGAUGUUCAAUUCUCCUCCUAACCUGCAAAACACUUUCUCAUCAAGAGGUUUAGUGAAUAUAUCCGCUAAUUGCUUUUCGGUGCGAACAUGCUUAAGAUCAAUGUCACCCUUAGCAACAUGAUCUCGAAUGAAAUGAGGACGAACUUCAAUAUGCUUAGUUCGAGAAUGUUGCACAGGAUUAUGACCAAUUUUGAUAGCACUUUCAUUAUCACAAAGCAAUGGAACAUGUCUCACAUAUAUCCCAUAAUCUUUAAGAGUUUGGGUCAUCCAAAGUAAUUGAGCACAACAUGAUCCAGCGGCAAUAUAUUCAGCUUCGGCGGUGGAUAAGGAUACCGAGUUUUGUUUCUUGGAGGACCAAGACACAAGAGAUCUACCAAGAAAUUGACAAGUACCCGAAGUGGACUUUCUAUCAACCUUGUCUCCGGCAUAGUCCGAGUCGGAAUAGCCAACAAGAUCGAAAGAGGCCCUCUUAGGAUACCAAAUGCCAAAAUUUGGUGUAUGGAUUAAGUAUCUCACUAUCCUUUUCACGACCUUAAGAUGACAUUCUUUAGGGGCAGCUUGCUAUCAUGCACACAUGCACACACUUAGCAUAAUAUCGGGACGUGAAGCACAUAGAUAUAACAAUGAACCAAUCAUAGAGCGAUAAACCUUUUGAUCAACUGGUUCACCAUCUUUGGUUAAGUCAAGAUGUCCACUAGUAGGCAUGGGUGUAGUCAUACCUUUGCAUUCUUGCAUAUUGAACUUCUUGACUAAGUCCUUGGUGUACUUUGUUUGCGAGACAAAAGUACCUUCCUUAGUGUGCUUGAUUUGCAAACCAAGAAAGAAUUUGAGUUCACUCAUCAUAGACAUCUCAAACUUCUCCGACAUUAGCUUCCCAAACUUUUCACUAAAAUGAGGGUUAGUUGAACCAAAUAUAAUAUCAUCAACAUAAAUUUGGCACACAAAGAUUUCACCAUUAACCCUUUUAGUAAAAAGAGUAGAAUCAAUUUUCCCAAUUUCAAAGCCUUUUUCAAUAAGGAACUUGGUCAAGCAUUUAUACCAUGCUCUAGGAGCUUGUUUAAGUCCAUAAAGAGUUUUGUGAAGUUUGUAAACAUGAUUGGGUUUCUUAGGAUUGACAAAGCCGGGAGGUUGUUUAACAUAAACUUCCUCCUCUAUUUCACCAUUUAGAAAAGCACUUUUAAUGUCCAUUUGGUACAAGGUGAUAUCAUGGUGAUUAGCAUAGGCAAGUAAGAUGCGAAUGGACUCAAGUCUAGCAACGGGGGCGUAAGUCUCACCAUAGUCCAUACCUUCGACUUGUGUGUAGCCUUGGGCGACGAGACGUGCUUUGUUGCGAACUACUUGUCCAUCUUCAUCUUGCUUGUUGCGAAACACCCAUUUGGUACCGAUGAUGUUGUGGUUGUUGUCGGGCUUCUCAACCAAUGUCCAAACUUGGUUCCUCUCAAAGUUGUGUAGCUCUUCAUGCAUAGAAUUUAUCCAAUCCGGAUCUUCCAAUGCUUCUUCAACCUUCAUAGGUUCAAUGCUAGAGAUGAAAGAAUAGUUUUCACAAAAGUUAGCUAAACGAGUUUUAGAGCGAGUGAUUCUCCCAGUUUGAAUAUCAUUGUAGAUUUGCUCUACGGGAUGGUCUUUAGCAAUUCUUGCUCGAACUCGUGAAAGCUUUUGCUUGGGUCUUCGUUGAACAUCUUCUUCAUCAUGUUCUUCUUCUUGGCCUUCUUCAUUGUUGGCGUUGUCGUUCUCUUGUCGUGGUGGAGAAGGAGGUUGUUGACGUUCAUCUUGAUGCACUUCCUCGUUUUCUUCAUCUUGGUGUGUCCCACUAGUGGAUGAUUCCGUAUCAACUCUUGGUUCACCUUGUCGUGAAGUAGAAGCUUCCACUUGGAUGGACGAGGUACUCUCCUUCACCUCCGUUGGAUGGACCUUGCCAAUAGACAAGUCUUGGAUUGCUUCCAAAGGAUCUUUGUCUCCUACAUCAAUUGGCAAUUGCUCUACUUGCGAGCCGUUAGAUUCAUCAAACUUCACAUCUACCGUCUCUUCAACCUUUCGGGUGAAACUGUUGUAGACACGGUAAGUGUGAGAGUUUGAGCCAUAACCUAGUAGGAAACCUUCAUGAGACUUAGGAGCAAAUUUAGAACGACGAUACUUAUCAAGAAUGUAGCACUUUGAGCCGAAUACCCGAAAGUAUCCAACUUGGGGUUUGUUACUGAUGAGUAGCUCGUAUGCCGUCUUGCCGAGUAGCUUGUGAAGAUACAAGCGAUUUGUUGCAUGACAAGCUGUCUCAACCGCUUCUGCCCAAAAGUGCUUCGGCGUCUUGUACUCAUCAAGCAUCGUUCUCGCCAUUUCGAUGAGCGUCCGGUUCUUCCUCUCAACAACUCCAUUUUGUUGAGGUGUGUACGUAGCCGAGAACUCGUGUGAAAUCCCUUCUUCGACAAGAAAGGUGUCCACAUUUGCGUUCUUGAACUCCGUUCCAUUGUCGCUGCAAACCUUCUUGAUCUUCACUUCAAAUUGGUUUUGGGCCAUCCUAGCGAAGUUUUUGAAGAUCUUUUGGACCUGCGAUUUAUCAUCGAGAAAGAACACCCACAUAAGUCUGGAAAAAUCAUCAACUAUAACUAGACCAAAAGAAUUUCCACGGAGACUCUUGUAAGAGUUGGGACCAAAGAGAUCCAUGUGAAGUAGCUCGAGUGGCCUCUUCGUGGUCAUGAUGUUCUUCACGGGAUGCCUUCCUCCAACCUGUUUACCUGCUUGACAAGCACUGCAAAGUCUAUCCUUAUCAAAUAUGACAUCAUUAACUCCAAGGAUAUGAUUCCCCUUAAUAAGCUUGUCAAGGUUUCUCAUACCAACAUGACCUAAUAGUCUAUGCCAUAACCAGCCUUUUGAGGAUUUAACAAUGAUGCAAGUUUUAGGUUGAGCCUUUUUAGUGAAAUCAACAAUGUAUAGAUCACCUCUACGCACACCAGUAAAGACCAUUUUAUGAUUAUCUCGACGAAACACUUGGCAAUCUACUUUAGUAAAUAGAACAUUGAAACCGAAAUCAGCAAGUCUAGAUACUGAAAGUAAGUUGUAACCAAGAGAUUCAACAAGCACAACAUUUUGUAUGGAGCUAUCAUGUGAUAUGGCCACCUUACCGAGGCCAACCACCUUACCCUUUGAGUUGUCACCGAAAGUGACAUACUUUCGAGGACUAUCAUUAUCAGCAAGCUCACGAAACAUGUCUUUACCUCCGGUCAUGUGAUAAUUACAUCCACUAUCAAGAACCCAUUCCUUUCCUCCUAACAUAUAUCCCUGAAGAUUUGCCAUAAGACCAAAAUGUCUCAUUGCAUCAUCAAGAUCGAAGUCACUAUCAUCAUCCUCAUCAUAGUAUCCAUGUUCAACAUCGUCAUGUGGUGGAUCAAAUCCUAGAGAGGGUGAUUCAUUAGAAUGAGUUUGACAAUAAUCUUGUCUAUGAAUUCUUAUAGCUUCGGAAAUAAUGUCACUAAUAAUACCAACAUUUCCUUUGGCACGCAUAAAGUUUGUAAGCUCAAAUAGACGAUUACCAAACAUAGGAUCACUAGUAUUCAUUUUACUCAAAGCAAUAGACGUAUGGAGAAUUUCAUAUAGAUUUUUCAAGGAAUAAUCUAGAAAUCGUUCCUCAAGAAAUUUCCAUAUGGUGUAGGCACACUUAAAAGUAGGCAAACAUCCAAUCAAGUUUCUAGGCAAUCCUCUAAUGAUAAGUUCUGCAGUUCAAAGAUUCCUAACCAUGUCAAUUGACUCAUCAUGGGUUGGAUGCAUAGGAUCAACAUAAGGUGCACAAGGGCUAGCAAUGUACUUGUUAAAAUGAUAUUGAUUGAAAAUAACAAGCAUCUCAUUUUUACACUCACGAAAAUACUCUCCAUCAAGAAUAGGCCCUCUAUGUCUAAGACUCCCCAAAGUAGACUCAUCCAUCUUCCUCCAAUGGUGAUUAAACCAAGGCAAUGGAGACCAAUGCUCUGAUACCACUUGUAGGACCUUGAGAAGAGGUGUCUAGAGGGGGGGUGAUUAGACACUAAGUACCAAAGUUGCAGUUUUUAAGUUUCUUUAAAGUUUGAGUGGAGUUUAGGCACAAGUUUAACAUUCACAACAUAUAGCAAGCAAGCAUGCAAAGAGUAUAUGAGCAGCGGAAAAUAAAGCAUGCAACUUGCAAGAAUGUAAAGGGAAGGGAUUGGAGGAUUCAAACGCAAUUGGAGACACGGAUGUUUUUGGAGUGGUUCCGAUAGGUGGUGCUAUCGUACCUCCACGUUGAUGGAGACUUCAACCCACGAAGGGUAACAGUUGCGUGAGUCCAUGGAGGGCUCCACCCACGAAGGGUCCACGAAGAAGCAACCUUGUCUAUCCCACCAUGGCCGUCGCCCACGAAGGACUUGCCUCACUAGCGGUAGAUCUUCACGAAGUAGGCGAUCUCCUUGCCCUUACAAACUCCUUGGUUCAACUCCACAAUCUUGUCGGAGGCUCCCAAGUGACACCUAGCCAAUCUAGGAGACACCACUCUCCAAGAAGUAACAAAUGGUGCAUUGAUGAUGAACUCCUUGCUCUUGUGCUUCAAAUGAUAGUCUCCCCAACACUCAAUUCUCUCUCAUAGGAUUUGGAUCUGGUGGAAAGAGGGUUUGAGUGGAAAGCAACUUGGGGAAGGUUAGAGAUCAAGAUUCAUAUGGUAGGAAUGGAAUAUCUUGGCCUCAACACAUGAGUAGGUAGUUCUCAGAAAUAGGAUGCUGUAAGUGUAGGUUCAGUCUGAUGGCUCUCUCCACGAAUGAAGAGGAGGUGGAGGGGGUAUAUAUAGCCUCCACACAAAAUCUAACCGUUACACACAAUCUACCAAACUUGGUGGGACUGAAUCGUUAAACUCGGUCAGACCAAUUUAGCAAAUAAUGUGACCGUUAGGGUUUUCGGUGGGACCGGAAUGCAACUCGGUGGGACCGAUUCGGUUAGGGUUAGGGCGUAACGUAAUCUCGGUAAGACCGAUUACACAAACUUGGUGGGACCGAUUUUGGUAAUAAGCUUUCCAGAGAGUUGGUCAGGCAAACUCGGUUUGACCGAUUAUCAAACUCGGUGGGACCGAUUUUGAUAAUAAGUUAACCAGAUAGUUUGCAUUGUAAUCUCGGUAGUACCGAUUGCUCAAACUCGGUGAGACCGAUUUUGAUAAUGGACAUACACAGAGAGAUUACAAUCCCAUUUCAGUGAGACCGAGAUCCCUAUCGGUGAGACCGAUUUGCCUAGGGUUUGUGGCAGUGGCUAAGACAUCCAAACUCGGUGGCGCCGGAUAGAAAGAAUCAGUGGGGCCGAGUUUGACUUUAGGUUUAGGACAUAUGUGUGGAAGUGGGAAAGUAGUUGAGGGUAUUUGGAGCAUAUCACUAAGCACUUUGAAGCAAGAGGCUCAUUAAGCAACACCUCAUUCCUCCUUGAUAGUAUUGGCUUUUCCUAUAGACUCAAUGUGAUCUUGGAUCACUAAAAUGUAAAAUGAAGAGUCUUGAGCUUGAAGCUUGAGCCAAUCCUUUGUCCUUAGCCUCUUGAAGGAGUUCCCACAUCCUUUAGUCCAUGCCACUCCAUUGUUGAACUUAUCUGAAACAUACUAGAUAAAAGUGUUAGUCCAACAAGAGAUAUGUUGUCAUUAAUUACCAAAACCAUUUAGGGAGGACUUGUGCUUUCAGCUGCUAUUUUUCUGCUAGUUGCUGCUGCCCGUAGUUGCCUUGCUGCUGCUAAUUACUGUAGCUAUGUCUAGCUUUACGAAUUUUACAUUGACUAACCCCCUCGACUGUCCCUAAACUAUGGUUAAACAAGUGUUAACAGGGCUAAAAAAAUUAUGGGAAGGUAGUACACUUGACAAUGCUCAAAUGUGUCCAUUGGACCAAAUCCAUUUGCUGCAUGUAUUAAUUCCUACAAAAAAAAUCACAAAUUGAUAUCUUCUGCUAACAGAGAACAGUUUUAACCUCUGCUUGUGUUGUGUGUAGUGUGUGUGUGUGGCCGGCUUGGCCACGGCCCACUUCCGUGCGUGGCCGGCCCUUGUGUUAAUUAGGACUAAUUUAGUUUAGGAGUAUUUUAUACUAGUUUAGUCUUUAGAGCAAAUGACAUGUGGCCCCAUUUGACCCUGUUUACCAGUCAAUAGUUGACUGGUCAACUGCUGACUGGACACCCUGGACCCCACCAGUCAGCCUCUGUAGCUAGCACAUGGCUGGGUACACUUGGUAUUUUCUGUUUAUUUUCGAAUUAAAAUAAAUGCCCAAAUCAUUUAAAACUUUGAUAAAAUCAUAGAAAAUAAACCGUAGCUCGGAUGAAAAAGUUUUCUACAUGAAAGUUGCUCAGAAUUUUGAGCCAAAUCUGGAUACGCCCUCUGUUCAUCUGUCACACGUCCCUAGCAUAGCAAACAUUGAACUUUUCCCUUUGGUUCAUUUGUUUGACAAACGACCGGAACCGGGAAAACUUUCCCGGAUGUCUCCCCCUUCGACAGUAUCGCCUAGGGAUGUCUAUGUUUGAGUGUAUUUACUGUUUCUUCCCCCUCUUCUCCCCGGUAGACCCUGAGACCGCUGCUCAUGCCACUGUGAUUGACUAUGUCGAUGCUGACUCUCCUUCUUGUCUGAGCAACCAGGCAAGCCCCCCCCUUUGAUCAUCCCGAUAUCGCCUAUUCCGUUCUCUCAUGCUUGCAUUAGAUUUUGCUACUAUAUUUGAUUGCUCCUAUUCUGAUGCAUAGCCUGCUUUUGUACCUGCUAUUGUUACCUACCUGCUUAUCCUAAACCGCUUAGUAUAGGUUGGUUAGUGAUCCAUCAGUGACCCCCACCUUGUCCUUGUUGCCCCUGCUUCAUCAUCUACGACUCGAUCAUCAUGAUCGACGACCAGAGCCCGACACCUCACGUCACAUCACACCCCUUUUGUUGCUCGACUCUGAAGAGCAACUAUCGAAUGCCGAGGCUGAUCCCUCAUAACGCACUCCUAAUGAUAAUUCUGUAGUGUAGCUAUUUGGUCGUGGUCAUCGAGGGUGAUUUCCUAUUUCACCAUUCCCGAUAUGGCUCUGUCGUUCAACACCUCAAGUGUGAACCUCGAGGGUGGUCCCUCUUACGUUCACCUUGAUGAUUACAUUGAGCGAAAUCCACUUGGGGUGAUUCCUCGGAUUUUCCCUUGAUGUUUGGACACACGGUUGCAAUGACUUUACUUGAGACCUUGGUGAAAGUCGGGCGGGCCCGGAGAGCACCCGCAAGAUAAUUACGUGGCACGGCUGGGCAUUCUAGGCCCUUGUCGUAAGUCCACGAGACGGGGCAACGGUGUCACUUUCGAUCGUGAGUCUCUGCUCGUCUCCGCAAGCUAACAAUACACUAUGGUUUAGGUAUUUGUUCUGAGUUGGCCUUUGGCCUUUACGCACCAACCACUAGGCGAGAAUAGUUAUGGGCCUCGGCGUCGUGGUAUCAGCCAAAGCUUUGUCAGACGUCCAGUUCAGCAUUGCGGCAUGGCCUGGUCGGCGCCCCAGUGGAGGUGGCCUGGAUCACCCUGCGCGCAUCGAUCUGGAGUGCAACGGGCGAUGGGCCCAGACCCCGAAGUGCUUAGGAUGUAGACCGGCGGGGACCUCUGUGCUGAGCCUAGGUAGGGUUGCGACGUGUUGAUCUUCCGAGGCCGGGCAUUGACCCAGAAAAGUGUGUCCGGCCAGAGUGAUCGAGCGUGUUGGAAAACGUGGUUCACCCCUGCAGGGAAGAUUAUCGAUUAAUAGCCGUGUCCACGGUAAUGGACGUUCAGACUUAUAUCCUGAUCUUAUACAACUACAAAUGGAUACUUGAGAUGUGUGGCUCCGGGAUUGCUUUCUCACAGGGAGUCGAGGAAGGAUCUCUGGGCAUUAAUGUUACAACAUGUUUGUUAAUUAUAAACUGCUAUUCUUUACUCUUCUACAGGCUGCAAGAUGCUUGGAGCUGCUUGAAGAUGCUAGUCUUUGAUAGGCUAGGCCUUCCCCUCUAUUCUGGCAUUCUGCAGUUCAGUCCAUAGAUUCAGCCCUUCCAUUUGAUACCAAUGCAUACUUAGUAUAGAUAUGAUGUUUGUGAGUACUUUGGAUGAGUACUCACGGUUGCUUUGCUCCCCCUUUCCCCAUUCUUUCUUCUUUCUAGUUGUUGCAAGCAGAUGGUGGAUCCCAGGAGCCAGAUGAUGCCAACCCCAUCGACUACUACUACUACAUGGAGGCCACCGAAAACCAGGAGUAGUUAGGAGGUCCCAGGCAGGAGGCCUUGCCUCUUCGAUCGUGUUGCUUUUGUGCCAGCCUUUUUAAGGCAUCCUUGUUUAACUUAUGUCUGUACUCAGAUAUUGUUGCUUCCGCUGACUCUUGUGUAUCGAGCUUUUGUAUUCGAGCCCUCGAGGCCCCUGGCUUGUAAUAUAAAGCUUGUAUCCCUUUUAUUUGUGUUUAGAGUUGUGUUGUGAUAUCUUCCCGUGAGUCCCUGAUCUUGAUCGUAC
rnacentral:lncRNA from 1 species